GCAGACAUAGUGUCAAAACUGGCACAUAAUCUAAACAAAACGUCCUGUAGCAGAUUUAACAUUAACCGGGCAAAUGUCUGGGAUGGUGCCUUAAGAGGUUUCAGGUGAUCCUCAUUUGAUCCCACCUGCAGCUUGAUGAUGAAAUUCAUAGAUGACGCUGGGCUGAUGGAAGAGGCUUUGGACAGCGGGGGGCCUACUCGAGAAUUUCUGACUCUGUUGAUGGACACCAUCAAAACAAGGAGAGUAUUUGAAGGCAAAGACCAUGCCAAAUACCUCUCAUUUGAUAGUAAAGAAAACAAUGAAUAUUUCCACAUUGGAAGAAUGAAUGCAGUGCCCAUUGUGGUCCAGGGCCUUGUUGUCUUUGCCCGAACUUCUUCCUUUACCUGAUUGGUAAAGUAAAGAAGAUUGAGGCCCCAACUGAGGACAUACCUGAUGAUGAGGCCAAGAAGGCCCUUCUUGAGAUAAAGAAUGCUACAUCACUGAGUGACCUCCAGGCACUUAUGCUUAUGGCUGCCAUUGAAAAGGUGCCUCUCUCUCUCAGGUCACUGAAGAGGUCAAUCCAAAACUGAGUCCUAAUGAUGGAAUGACACUAUGCAC